CUGUACUCUGGGAUAAGCCUGGGAAACUAGGUCUAAUACCGGAUAUGACACUUCAUCGCAUGGUGUGGUGUGGAAAGUUCCGGCGGUACAGGAUGGACCCGCGGCCUAUCAGCUUGUUGGUGGGGUAAUGGCCUACCAAGGCGACGACGGGUAGCCGGCCUGAGAGGGCGACCGGCCACACUGGGACUGAGACACGGCCCAGACUCCUACGGGAGGCAGCAGUGGGGAAUAUUGCACAAUGGGCGAAAGCCUGAUGCAGCGACGCCGCGUGAGGGAUGACGGCCUUCGGGUUGUAAACCUCUUUCAGUAGGGACGAAGCGCAAGUGACGGUACCUACAGAAGAAGCACCGGCUAACUACGUGCCAGCAGCCGCGGUAAUACGUAGGGUGCGAGCGUUGUCCGGAAUUAUUGGGCGUAAAGAGCUCGUAGGCGGUUUGUUGCGUCGGCUGUGAAAACCUACAGCUUAACUGUGGGCCUGCAGUCGAUACGGGCAGACUUGAGUUCGGCAGGGGAGACUGGAAUUCCUGGUGUAGCGGUGAAAUGCGCAGAUAUCAGGAGGAACACCGGUGGCGAAGGCGGGUCUCUGGGCCGAUACUGACGCUGAGGAGCGAAAGCGUGGGGAGCGAACAGGAUUAGAUACCCUGGUAGUCCACGCCGUAAACGGUGGGUGCUAGGUGUGGGGGACUUCCACGUCCUCCGUGCCGCAGCUAACGCAUUAAGCACCCCGCCUGGGGAGUACG
rnacentral:rRNA from 1 species